UGUCUAUUUCUAAUGCCUGUAUUAAAUAAUGACGUUUUUCUGCUGUCAUAUGAUGUCUAUAUAGACAAUAAUAAUAAUAACAAUAAUAAUAAUAAUAAAUAAAGUAGCUAUCCGAGUGGGAUAUAUUUUUUAAUAGAUGCAAUUUUAUGCGCAUGACAUUACAUGCAUUGUAAAGCAUGCUUUAUUUAUUUUAUUUAUUUAUUUAUUUUUAUUUACACAUUACAAACCCAAUUUGACAUUAUAUACGCACUUCGUUUGAUCGAAAUAACGUUAACCGUGACGACGUCAUCGCUCAAGUUGAAGCAAGUGCUUCCAAAAUAAUAACAUCUGAAACUUUUUGGAACUCGUGCCAAUGACAGAGAAAUCGCGCAGUUUUUUUCUGUCUAGACUGUAAUUUUAGUUCAAAUUUUUACGUUUUAAUUAAUUUUAAAGUAAGAUUGAAGAAAUAUGUGCAAAGAAGAAAUAAUAGAAAUUUGACAGGUUUUAUUUAUUGACAGCUACCAAAAAUUUUUUAUUAUUCU